AGCCAUUAGGCUCAUCCCUGAUUCGAGAGGCAGCAUCUCACUGUGCCACCCCUGGAGGAGCACAGGGAAGGAGAGGCGAGAGGCAGAAGCAAAGUCGACAGGGGAGUGGCGGCUGUUGAUCCCGUGCCACGAGGGCGCAAAAAUCUCAGUUGAAAAGAAAACCAUCAUAUUAAGAAGUACUGUCAACUGGUUAACAUUGGACAUGUAGAUCUUGAUGUCUUCUCUGAAUUAUGCUAAUACCUUCAGGAUCCCUUUAAGAAGCAGACAAUAAGAAAAUGGUUCACAUCGUAUUAGACACUUUGUCUAAGAACCCACAGAUCAGCCAAGGUUAGAAGUUCCUGUCUCCAAGAACAGAAAAUAUAGACACCAAAACAGCUAAAUGAGAGUAUUAAGAACCUAGAAGUAGCAGGAGUUGCCUGGCACAAGGAAGAAGAAAUGCUAAAAGGUUGCUCAAUGACAAAGCAGAAUGGUCACCACAAAACAAUAUACCCCAAUUAGAAAUCACACCAGUCAGGAGAGGGAGUAAGGACAUGUUUUGGGUGACUGGUCAGGACUGAAACACACUAUCUCUAGAGUGGUAUGGUGAACGCAGAUGCCUUUCAAGGGAUGGAAAAUCCAACAAUGAAUAUGAAAGAGGCAGGGAAUGUAUAUACAAAGAAGAAUCUACAGCACUGAUGUAGAAGAGCAAAGAACAAUAAGGACUGGUUUGGUACUGAAAGGUAAAUCACCUCUGCCAUCUAAGUGCUAAUUGAUAAUACAUGCUGCAC